rnacentral:lncRNA from 10 species
CCACCCUGAGCAGGGAGUGGCACUUGAUCCAAAGAGAGCCUCUGAAAUGGCUGCACCCGAUAUCUCAGCAGGUUACCCCAUAGAGUGUUGAGUGGGCAACUCAAUUAUUCCCUCACCUGAAGAAGUCUGAAAGCAAGACGAAGAGAGUCCUUUUGCAAGAGUGAUGUACAAAGCCCUACGGACAUACAGACUUCGUGUGCAAGUCCUGUGGAGGAGAGGAGAUGAGAGAGCAAUCGGUUGGUGGCAUCUGGGGACAUUAAACAGUGACGUGGACACAGUGAUGGCCUGCAGUGGUGAACCAGUGAGGGAACAAGUCCUAUGGUUGGGGAGCUACCUGAGGCUGGAGAGCAGAGUACAGCCAGGCCCACAGUGGUGCAGCAUACCAGAGUCAAGGUCUCACUAGGAUGUCCAGGCUGGCCUCGAACUCCUGGGCUCAAGCAAUCCACCUGCCUUGGCCUCUGAAAGUGCAGGAAUUACAGCCUUAUCCAAAAUCUCUGGAGGUAACACCAGUGGAAGCAACCUUAGAAGAGGAAUGAGUUGGCAGGAGGCAAGAGGCAGGAAAGCACUGAGAAUGUUUCAUCAUGAGAUGUGAGCAUCAUGUUCCAGGCCCUGAGUGCUUCAUAAAAAAAAAAGUUCCUUUUCCACCAAAACAAUGCCCUGAUUUGAGUGCUUCAUCAAAAGAGAAAGAUUUCUCAUGAUAAACCAUAUUCUAAGCACUUAGAUCACAAUAUAGUAAAUUUUCAAAAGGAAGUCACUUUUGCCAAGAUAUAAAGGCUCAUGUACGUAAAUUCUAUGCUUCCAAUAUAAGUACAUUUCAAAAAUAUUAUUAAACCCUUAUUUACUGAGUGCUGCUUAUAUGCCUCCUAUUCUCACUCUUUUUUGUGGUUGAAUUUAAUCAACACACAACUCUAAGGAAUAGGCAUGACUCAUUAUUUUCAUUUUACACUUGAGGAAACUGAGGCACUCAGUGUUUUACAUAUAUAAAAAUGAGUAUGAGGUUCAGCCAAAAUUCAAAUACCGAACGUCUGGCUCCAAAGCCCACAUGGUAUUCACCAUAAAUAGAAAUUUC